CCCGCUGAACUUAAGCAUAUCAAUAAGCGGAGGAAAAGAAACUAACAAGGAUUCCCCUAGUAACUGCGAGUGCAGCGGGAAUAGCUCAAAUUUAAUAUCUGAUGGUUUUUUUAGACUUCCGAGGAUGAU
rnacentral:rRNA from 1 species